rnacentral:rRNA from 1 species
AUUGAACGCUGGCGGCAGGCCUAACACAUGCAAGUCGAGCGGAUGAAGGGAGCUUGCUCCUGGAUUCAGCGGCGGACGGGUGAGUAAUGCCUAGGAAUCUGCCUGGUAGUGGGGGAUAACGUCCGGAAACGGGCGCUAAUACCGCAUACGUCCUGAGGGAGAAAGUGGGGGAUCUUCGGACCUCACGCUAUCAGAUGAGCCUAGGUCGGAUUAGCUAGUUGGUGGGGUAAAGGCCUACCAAGGCGACGAUCCGUAACUGGUCUGAGAGGAUGAUCAGUCACACUGGAACUGAGAAACGGUCCAGACUCCUACGGGAGGCAGCAGUGGGGAAGAUUGGACAAUGGGCGAAAGCCUGAUCCAGCCAUGCCGCGUGUGUGAAGAAGGUCUUCGGAUUGUAAAGCACUUUAAGUUGGGAGGAAGGGCAGUAAGUUAAUACCUUGCUGUUUUGACGUGACCAACAGAAUAAGCACCGGCGAACUUCGU